rnacentral:lncRNA from 1 species
UAGAGGACAAAAUGAUUUUGUGUUUGUAUUCCCCAAAGAGCUGAGAAUCCACCAUCACGCUAACCAAAGGGCUAGUUGAAGGGAUGAUCAGAAUGAGAGAAGACACAACACUAUUCUUGAAAGGUAACUGAGUUUGGCCCAGCCCUUCACAGCCUGUGGGAACUAAUGGGGUGACAGUAGUAGAACUGACUUAUUUUUCACUGCAUCAUGCCCCUACAGGGCGCUUUAAGUGCUUCCCGGAAUCCCCAGGUAUGUCUAAGCUGUCUUCAUGGCGUGUCAACUCCAUCUCAGUUCCAAUGUUGUCCCUCUGCCUCCUGCCAGAUGUCCCCUUUCCCACAGCACCAGAACUCCUAGAAGCCCCAAAAUGUCAAUGCUGCAUAGUGCUCCCUCUCUCUUUGUCUUACGCUCUGUUGCAGGAAUGUCAGAGCUGCGUAGGUCAUGUCCAGGAGUCUCAGAGAAACAGCCCUGUCGGAUUUUAUGCACAGCACACCUGUUCUCAAGGGACUCUGACAUCUUCUGUGAAGUCCAAGGAGUAAGGACUUAGACACAACCUGAAGUGACAAACACUUUUAAGUCCUCCCAACCACAUCCCCUUGGCUCUGGAUGGUUUAAGACUUGUCCGUGGUUCAUUCUUCCUUUAGGCAGCUUUCUUUCUGAGGAGGCACCAUAGUCCCUCCAGAUAUGACCAGCUGCUCCUGAACCCCAAUCUAGGACCCUCCUGAUAAAAAACAAAAAUGGUUCUUUUUAUUUUAUUUACUCAAUUUUCAAUGCUUGUUCUCCUUAAUGAGCAUUUUCUCCAUCCAAGUGCUCAACUAGCUUGCACUACACAUACUCAGGGGAUCAUGUUAAAAUGCAGAUUCUGAUUCAGCGGAUCUGGGAUGGGGCCCAGAAUGCUGCAUUCUUAACAAGCCCCCAGGUGAUGCUGAUGCUUCUGGUCUUGGACCAAUCCUUGAGAAGCGAGGCUUAAGGGAUUUACAGAUAAACAUGACACACCCUGGUCCUCAAGGAGGUUCCAGUUUGGCUAGAAAAAUAAAUUUACG